UGCUAGAAUGUCAAGUAUGUGAGCCUCAAACACUUCUGUCUCUGCUGGGGAGCUACUUACGAAGAAACCAAGGCCAGAGCCCACGGACACUCAUCAAAAGAAACGAAGAGCAUAAACAACUUCUUGUUGCUCACCGGGACGUAUGACGCACACCGGAGCACACAAACCACCGGAUCAGAGAUCCAGUGUUGUGUGGGCUGUCUCCACAUGAACUCCAGACCCAGCUUGUUGAUGUCCACCAAGUAGUGUGCUGCAGUUGGAAGACUGACUCAUGCAUCAAGGCGUGAAGAGCUAACAUCUUAACAACACUGGGCCUUCUUAGCCAAGAACAUAAAACACAGCUUCAUUUAUUUAAUUUUCUCAGCUCUCCAAGUUUUAAAAAUUUCUCUUUGUGUAUAUUUCGAUGUUUUGUUAGAUUUGCACCUAUUAAUGGUCUUGUGAUUUUUUUUUUGUUUUUACCUUCAGAUUCUAAAUGUUCAUUGCUGGGGUGCUUAUGGAAAUUUACUUUUGUACAUUAGGUGUGUUUGUUGCACGGAUAAUAAAAAUUCAGAGACAGAUAUUGUGGUUCAAGCUGAAGAUCAGAAAAGCAAAGCAGCCAGCCACUAGAAAGUUCUUACCUCUACCAAGGCUCAGACCAAAGGGUGACUGCAGACUGCCUGAGUACCUGUCUCCUCCCUCUUAUAUUCCUCUCUAGUACUGGUGUCUAAGGUGUGCACCACCACCACCUGGCCUCUGUGGCUAACUAGUGUGGCUGCUGAGAUUAAAGGUGUGGCCACCACUGUCUGGCCUGUAUGGCUGACUAGCGUGGCUAGCUUUGCACUCUGAUCUUCAAGCAAGCUUUAUUUGUUAGAUCAUAAACAAAAUAUUACCACAUUUCUCCUUUUUGUCUAAUAUAAAAAGGUUAUAACUAAUAUAAGAAAAUAUAAGAAAAACUAUAUACAAUAAAUACAAUAACUAUAUACAAUAUAUUCAGGCAAUAAAUACAUCAAAAAUGUCUAGUCCAUUUGCAUUUGACAAAUUCAGAGAAAAUACCCCAUUAUCAUCCUAUCUUGGUGAGUACAAAGGGUUGUACCUAAUUCACUUUCUAAUUUGCAUUAUCAAAUUAUCUUUUAAUGUCUCUCAACCUUUUACACUUUAC